GGGGAUGUAGCUCAGUGGUAGAGCACUAGACUGCCAUGCAAGAGGCCCUGGGUUUGAUCUCCAGCACCA
rfam:Ictidomys tridecemlineatus contig045212, whole genome shotgun sequence.